rnacentral:rRNA from 1 species
GAUGAACGCUGGCGGCGUGCCUAAUACAUGCAAGUCGAGCGAACGGACGAGAAGCUUGCUUCUCUGAUGUUAGCGGCGGACGGGUGAGUAACACGUGGAUAACCUACCUAUAAGACUGGGAUAACUUCGGGAAACCGGAGCUAAUACCGGAUAAGAUUUUGAACCGCAUGGUUCAAAAGUGAAAGACGGUCUUGCUGUCACUUAUAGAUGGAUCCGCGCUGCAUUAGCUAGUUGGUAAGGUAACGGCUUACCAAGGCAACGAUGCAUAGCAGACCUGAGAGGGUGAUCGGCCACACUGGAACUGAGACACGGUCCAGACUCCUACGGGAGGCAGCAGUAGGGAAUCUUCCGCAAUGGGCGAAAGCCUGACGGAGCAACGCCGCGUGAGUGAUGAAGGUCUUCGGAUCGUAAAACUCUGUUAUUAGGGAAGAACAUAUGUGUAAGUAACUGUGCACAUCUUGACGGUACCUAAUCAGAAAGCCACGGCUAACUACGUG